UACGGGGGGGGCAAGCGUUGUUCGGAAUUACUGGGCGUAAAGGGCUCGUAGGUGGCCAACUAAGUCAGACGUGAAAUCCCUCAGCUUAACUGGGGAACUGCGUCUGAUACUGGAUGGCUUGAGUUUGGGAGAGGGAUGCGGAAUUCCAGGUGUAGCGGUGAAAUGCGUAGAUAUCUGAAGGAACACCGGUGGCGAAGGCGGCAUCCUGGACCAACACUGACACUGAGGAGCGAAAGCCAGGGGAGCAAACGGG
rnacentral:rRNA from 1 species